rnacentral:lncRNA from 1 species
AUGUAUCAGAGAAGUCUCCUGCCUUCCUCCCUUGAAUUGAGCAGCACCAGAAUCCAGGGGCUCUUUCCUCUUCUCCUAGCAGCAUAUUUGAGAACUCUUGACCUUCGGCUCUCCAUGGCACACCCUGUUGCAAAUUUCACAUACCAGAGUAGACUCAUCAAGGAAAGCACUUUAGCCGGCGACAGGAGCCCACUGUUUGGGUUGCCACUCAGCACUUCUCCUCCAGCACUGGGAGCUGAGCAGCCGGGCUGGGGAUCCUGUUACCCCUGGUGCAGGAGAUGCCAUCUGCCAAAUGUCCCCGAGUGGUGUUUUAGCAAGUGGGCUAAAAAGAACAUCCUGUGCACGGUAGCUGAAGUCCAUCACAGCUGUCACAGGAACAUACGCAUGCAGCCUGGGCUGGAGGUGGAUGCUGGCUCGGGAGGGAAGCUGGGCAGGUGGCCAAUAAACCUCCCUUACUUGCUGAUGCUUCCUUUUGGGGAAAGGAGAUCCUGGCUUAGCAUGGCCUGA